rnacentral:rRNA from 1 species
GGGUUGUGAGGUUAAGCGACUAAGCGUACACGGUGGAUGCCCUGGCAGUCAGAGGCGAUGAAGGACGUGCUAAUCUGCGAUAAGCGUCGGUGAGGUGAUAUGAACCGUUAUAACCGGCGAUUUCCGAAUGGGGAAACCCAGUGUGUUUCGACACACUAUCAUUAACUGAAUCCAUAGGUUAAUGAGGCGAACCGGGGGAACUGAAACAUCUAAGUACCCCGAGGAAAAGAAAUCAACCGAGAUUCCCCCAGUAGCGGCGAGCGAACGGGGAGGAGCCCAGAGCCUGAAUCAGUGUGUGUGUUAGUGGAAGCGUCUGGAAAGGCGUGCGAUACAGGGUGACAGCCCCGUACACAAAAAUGCACAUAUUGUGAGCUCGAUGAGUAGGGCGGGACACGUGGUAUCCUGUCUGAAUAUGGGGGGACCAUCCUCCAAGGCUAAAUACUCCUGACUGACCGAUAGUGAACCAGUACCGUGAGGGAAAGGCGAAAAGAACCCCGGCGAGGGGAGUGAAAAAGAACCUGAAACCGUGUACGUACAAGCAGUGGGAGCCUCUUAAUGGGGUGACUGCGUACCUUUUGUAUAAUGGGUCAGCGACUUAUAUUCUGUAGCAAGGUUAACCGAAUAGGGGAGCCGAAGGGAAACCGAGUCUUAACUGGGCGUUAAGUUGCAGGGUAUAGACCCGAAACCCGGUGAUCUAGCCAUGGGCAGGUUGAAGGUUGGGUAACACUAACUGGAGGACCGAACCGACUAAUGUUGAAAAAUUAGCGGAUGACUUGUGGCUGGGGGUGAAAGGCCAAUCAAACCGGGAGAUAGCUGGUUCUCCCCGAAAGCUAUUUAGGUAGCGCCUCGUGAAUUCAUCUCCGGGGGUAGAGCACUGUUUCGGCAAGGGGGUCAUCCCGACUUACCAACCCGAUGCAAACUGCGAAUACCGGAGAAUGUUAUCACGGGAGACACACGGCGGGUGCUAACGUCCGUCGUGAAGAGGGAAACAACCCAGACCGCCAGCUAAGGUCCCAAAGUCAUGGUUAAGUGGGAAACGAUGUGGGAAGGCCCAGACAGCCAGGAUGUUGGCUUAGAAGCAGCCAUCAUUUAAAGAAAGCGUAAUAGCUCACUGGUCGAGUCGGCCUGCGCGGAAGAUGUAACGGGGCUAAACCAUGCACCGAAGCUGCGGCAGCGACACUAUGUGUUGUUGGGUAGGGGAGCGUUCUGUAAGCCUGUGAAGGUGGCCUGUGAGGGUUGCUGGAGGUAUCAGAAGUGCGAAUGCUGACAUAAGUAACGAUAAAGCGGGUGAAAAGCCCGCUCGCCGGAAGACCAAGGGUUCCUGUCCAACGUUAAUCGGGGCAGGGUGAGUCGACCCCUAAGGCGAGGCCGAAAGGCGUAGUCGAUGGGAAACAGGUUAAUAUUCCUGUACUUGGUGUUACUGCGAAGGGGGGACGGAGAAGGCUAUGUUGGCCGGGCGACGGUUGUCCCGGUUUAAGCGUGUAGGCUGGUUUUCCAGGCAAAUCCGGAAAACCAAGGCUGAGGCGUGAUGACGAGGCACUACGGUGCUGAAGCGACAAAUGCCCUGCUUCCAGGAAAAGCCUCUAAGCAUCAGGUAACAUCAAAUCGUACCCCAAACCGACACAGGUGGUCAGGUAGAGAAUACCAAGGCGCUUGAGAGAACUCGGGUGAAGGAACUAGGCAAAAUGGUGCCGUAACUUCGGGAGAAGGCACGCUGAUAUGUAGGUGAAGCGACUUGCUCGUGGAGCUGAAAUCAGUCGAAGAUACCAGCUGGCUGCAACUGUUUAUUAAAAACACAGCACUGUGCAAACACGAAAGUGGACGUAUACGGUGUGACGCCUGCCCGGUGCCGGAAGGUUAAUUGAUGGGGUUAGCGGUAACGCGAAGCUCUUGAUCGAAGCCCCGGUAAACGGCGGCCGUAACUAUAACGGUCCUAAGGUAGCGAAAUUCCUUGUCGGGUAAGUUCCGACCUGCACGAAUGGCGUAAUGAUGGCCAGGCUGUCUCCACCCGAGACUCAGUGAAAUUGAACUCGCUGUGAAGAUGCAGUGUACCCGCGGCAAGACGGAAAGACCCCGUGAACCUUUACUAUAGCUUGACACUGAACAUUGAGCCUUGAUGUGUAGGAUAGGUGGGAGGCUUUGAAGUGUGGACGCCAGUCUGCAUGGAGCCGACCUUGAAAUACCACCCUUUAAUGUUUGAUGUUCUAACGUUGGCCCGUAAUCCGGGUUGCGGACAGUGUCUGGUGGGUAGUUUGACUGGGGCGGUCUCCUCCUAAAGAGUAACGGAGGAGCACGAAGGUUGGCUAAUCCUGGUCGGACAUCAGGAGGUUAGUGCAAUGGCAUAAGCCAGCUUGACUGCGAGCGUGACGGCGCGAGCAGGUGCGAAAGCAGGUCAUAGUGAUCCGGUGGUUCUGAAUGGAAGGGCCAUCGCUCAACGGAUAAAAGGUACUCCGGGGAUAACAGGCUGAUACCGCCCAAGAGUUCAUAUCGACGGCGGUGUUUGGCACCUCGAUGUCGGCUCAUCACAUCCUGGGGCUGAAGUAGGUCCCAAGGGUAUGGCUGUUCGCCAUUUAAAGUGGUACGCGAGCUGGGUUUAGAACGUCGUGAGACAGUUCGGUCCCUAUCUGCCGUGGGCGCUGGAGAACUGAGGGGGGCUGCUCCUAGUACGAGAGGACCGGAGUGGACGCAUCACUGGUGUUCGGGUUGUCAUGCCAAUGGCACUGCCCGGUAGCUAAAUGCGGAAGAGAUAAGUGCUGAAAGCAUCUAAGCACGAAACUUGCCCCGAGAUGAGUUCUCCCUGACUCCUUGAGGGUCCUGAAGGAACGUUGAAGACGACGACGUUGAUAGGCCGGGUGUGUAAGCGCAGCGAUGCGUUGAGCUAACCGGU